rnacentral:rRNA from 1 species
CCUACGGGGGGCAGCAGUGGGGAAUAUUGGGCAAUGGGCGCAAGCCUGACCCAGCAACGCCGCGUGAAGGAAGACGGCUUUCGGGUUGUUAACUUCUUUUCUGAGGGACGAAGACAGUGACGGUACCUCAGGAAUAAGCCACGGCUAACUACGUGCCAGCAGCCGCGGCAAUACGUAGGUGGCAAGCGUUAUCCGGAUUUAUUGGGUGUAAAGGGCGUGUAGGCGGGAAAGCAAGUCAGAUGUGAAAACUCAGGGCUCAACCCUGAGCCUGCAUUUGAAACUGUUUUUCUUGAGUGCUGGAGAGGCAGUCGGAAUGCCGGGUGUAGCGGUGAAAUGCGUAGAUAUACGGAGGAACACCAGUGGCGAAGGCGGAUUGCUGGACAGUAACUGACGCUGAGGCGCGAAAGCGUGGGGAGCAAACAGGAUUAGAUACCCGAGUAGUC